GGGUCGGCCGGUCCGCCU
rnacentral:siRNA from 1 species